GGCGCUAUAGCCAAGUGGUUACGGCGACAGAUUAGAAUUAUCAGUAGCACGCACAGUCAAUCUGUUCCUCUUUGAGGGCGCAGGUUCGAAUCCUGCUGGCGUCG